GCAUUCAUGGUGUAGUGGUCAGCACACUCGGCGCGUAUUCGAGAGGUCCGUGGUUCGAGUCCCCGAGAAGGUA
rnacentral:tRNA from 1 species